GAUGAACGCUGGCGGCGUGCCUAAUACAUGCAAGUCGAGCGAACAGACGAGGAGCUUGCUCCUCUGACGUUAGCGGCGGACGGGUGAGUAACACGUGGAUAACCUACCUAUAAGACUGGGAUAACUUCGGGAAACCGGAGCUAAUACCGGAUAAUAUAUUGAACCGCAUGGUUCAAUAGUGAAAGACGGGUUUGCUUUCACUAAUAGAUGGAUCCGCGCCGCAUUAGCUAGUUGGUAAGGUAACGGCUUACCAAGGCAACGAUGCGUAGCCGACCUGAGGGGGUGAUCGGCCACACUGGAACUGAGACACGGUCCAGACUCCUACGGGAGGCAGCAGUAGGGAAUCUUCCGAAAUGGGCGAAAGCCUGACGGAGCAACGCCGCGUGAGUGAUGAAGGUCUUCGGAUCGUAAAACUCUGUUAUUAGGGAAGAACAAAUGUGUAAGUACUAUGCACGUCUUGACGGUACCUAAUCAGAAAGCCACGGCUAACUACGUG
rnacentral:rRNA from 1 species